rnacentral:rRNA from 1 species
GCUCAGAAACUUAAAGGAAUUGACGGGGGCCCGCGACAAGCGGAGGAGCAUGUGGUUUAAUUCGAUGAUACGCGAGGAACCUUACCUGGGCUUGAAAGUUAGUGACAUUCUGUGAAAGCAGAACUUCCGCAAGGACACGAAACUAGGUGCUGCAUGGCUGUCGUCAGCUCGUGCCGUGAGGUGUUGGGUUAAGUCCCGUAACGAGCGCAACCCCUAUCAUUAGUUGCCAUCAGGUCAUGCUGGGGACUCUAAUGAGACUGCCCGCGCAAGCGGUGAGGAAGGUGGGGACGACGUCAAGUCAUCACGGCCCUUACGUCCAGGGCUACACACGUGCUACAAUGGUAGAUACAGCAGGUUGCCACAUGGUAACAUGGAGCUAAUCCCAAAAGUCUAUCUCAGUUCGGAUUGAGGUCUGCAACUCGACCUCAUGAAGCUGGAUUCGCUAGUAAUCGAAAAUCAGCAAUGUUUCGGUGAAUACGUUCCCGGGCCUU